rnacentral:rRNA from 1 species
UACGGAGGGUGCGAGCGUUGCUCGGAAUUAUUGGGCGUAAAGCGUACGCAGGCGGCCGAUCAAGUCGAGUGUGAAAUCCCCGGAGCUCAACCCCGGACAUGCAUUCGAGACUGACCGGCUUGAGUGCGGGGGAGGGGAGCGGAAUUCCUGGUGUAGAGGUGAAAUUCGUAGAUAUCAGGAGGAACACCGGUGGCGAAAGCGGCUUCCUGGCCCGACACUGACGCUCAUGUACGAAAGCGUGGGGAGCAAACAGG